AGGAAAGCUAGAAUAACGAGUUCCCAUAUUACAAAUACUACAACAUCCACCCUUGAAGAAGUUAGAUUAGAAGUGGAAGAGAAGAAGGAAACAGAGGCCCAGUCAUGCUUGGAUCGAAUCUGAUACUCUCUCAACUGCUCUGCCAGAUUCGAUCGCGUUAUCAUCUCCAAUUCACUUUCGGUUUCGCGCUCUCUCUAUCCCUGCUCCUUGCUGUAUGGGAAGCUCAAGAGGACAUAAAUAUGAAGAAAUUGCAGAGGCAGAGAGGAUUUUGAACGAUGAACAAACAAGAAAAGAAGGACAGAGGAAGGAUGAACGUUCGAUUUGCUGUACUGGGCUCG
rnacentral:misc_RNA from 1 species